CCUACGGGUGGCAGCAGUGAGGAAUAUUGGUCAAUGGACGAGAGUCUGAACCAGCCAAGUAGCGUGAAGGAUGACUGCCCUAUGGGUUGUAAACUUCUUUUAUAUGGGAAUAAAAUGUUCCACGUGUGGGAUUUUGUAUGUACCAUAUGAAUAAGGAUCGGCUAACUCCGUGCCAGCAGCCGCGGUAAUACGGAGGAUCCGAGCGUUAUCCGGAUUUAUUGGGUUUAAAGGGUGCGUAGGUGGAUUGUUAAGUCAGUUGUGAAAGUUUGCGGCUCAACCGUAAAAUUGCAGUUGAAACGGGCAGUCUUGAGUACAGUAGAGGUGGGCGGAAUUCGUGGUGUAGCGGUGAAAUGCUUAGAUAUCACGAAGAACUCCGAUUGCGAAGGCAGUUCACUGGACUGCAACUGACACUGAGGCUCGAAAGUGUGGGUAUCAAACAGGAUUAGAUACCCUUGUAGUC
rnacentral:rRNA from 1 species